CCUACGGGAGGCAGCAGUGAGGAAUAUUGGUCAAUGGACGAGAGUCUGAACCAGCCAAGUAGCGUGAAGGAUGACUGCCCUAUGGGUUGUAAACUUCUUUUAUAUGGGAGUAAAAUGUUCCACGUGUGGGAUUUUGUAUGUACCAUAUGAAUAAGGAUCGGCUAACUCCAUGCCAGCAGCCGCGGUAAUACGGAGGAUCCGAGCGUUAUCCGGAUUUAUUGGGUUUAAAGGGAGCGUAGGUGGAUUGUUAAGUCAGUUGUGAAAGUUUGCGGCUCAACCGUAAAAGUGCAGUUGAAACUGGCAGUCUUGAGUACAGGAGAGGUGGGCGGAAUUCGUGGUGUAGCGGUGAAAUGCUUAGAUAGCACGAAGAACUCCGAUUGCGAAGGCAGUUCACUGGACUGCAACUGACACUGAGGCUCGAAAGUGUGGGUAUCAAACAGGAUUAGAUACCCCUGUAGUC
rnacentral:rRNA from 1 species